GUUGAUGACCUUCUACGUGAAACUAUAACAAGAUUUUAAAAUUAUUUAGUAUAUAUAUGAGAUACCAGACAGUGCAUGCUUUACAACAGGUAGCAAGCGCUUCACUCAUCUUACAUUCUACGAAGAAUUUUGUUAUUUUCUCAAAAUGAUGAAAGCAGUGAUUGUCGCCCUUGUUGUUUGUCUGUGCGUUUCGAGCGUUACGCCAAUGUUUAUGCCAUACAGAUACAGACCGGUCUUGUACGGAGGAUUCGGCAAGAUGGGAUACGGCAUGGGCAUGGGAUACGGCAUGGGCAUGGGAUACGGCAUGGGCAUGGGAUACGGCAUGGGCAUGAGAUACGGCAUGGGUUUCGGCGGAUUCGGAAAGAUGGGAAUCGGCAUGGGCAUGGGUUACAUGGGUUAUGGCGGAUUUGGAAAGAUGGGAUUCGGAUACGGCUAUGCUGGAUAGAGUUGAUGUACUAAGCUGAAAGACCAGAACGCACUGUCAAACGAAUACCACGGUUGUCACAUAUAAUGAAUAGUAAAAGCUUGUAAUAAAUAUGUUGUUUAACAACAAA